ensembl:misc_RNA 7SK 7SK RNA
GGAUGCGAUGGUGAUCUGGCUGCCUGUGCAUCCCUCAUGAAGCUGUUUCUAUUGUUGAAGAGGACAAACUUUGUGAUAUAGAAGGGCCAGUGUUUGGUCAAGAGAAUUUGAAUAGCUACACCCACCUGUUAGAACCUCCCAAGAAACUGUCUAGGGUUUAAAACAACAAUAGUAUAGAGCUUGGUGUACUUUUGCUUAUACACCCAAAGAGCAUGCAGUCGCUACCUGGCAGAGUUCCUCCGUAAUGUUCCUUU